CUAUAGCAAGUAUGAACCUGAAGUACAGACACGACUUAAUAUACUAAAUAUAGAUAUAUUGAUACCCGUCGAGGAAAGGUGUUAACCUUCAAAGUGAUCACCUUGGAAAUCUGUAUAUAAUCAAUAAGCAAUGCACAACAUAUUUAGGGGAUGCUUUUGAAAUUUUGUGCCAAUUUUGAAAUUCUUUGAAACAUCAACUUCAUAGUUACUUGGAACAGUUUUAUAGCCUUUAAGAAUAAGCUGUUGAAUUUUUAAAGGACUCGCACUCACUUGGAUUUAUCAGUUUUGGUUUAUUGAGUUAAAAGUCAUGUCUUGAACAAAAUGG
rnacentral:lncRNA from 1 species